rnacentral:rRNA from 1 species
UACGUAGGGUGCAAGCGUUAAUCGGAAUUACUGAGCGUAAAGCGUGCGCAGGCGGUUUUGUAAGACAGAGGUGAAAUCCCCGGGCUCAACCUGGGAACUGCCUUUGUGACUGCAAGGCUUGAGUGCGGCAGAGGGGGAUGGAAUUCCGCGUGUAGCAGUGAAAUGCGUAGAUAUGCGGAGGAACACCGAUGGCGAAGGCAAUCCCCUGGGCCUGCACUGACGCUCAUGCACGAAAGCGUGGGGAGCAAACAGG